UUAAGUGACUAAGCGUACAAGGUGGAUGCCUUGGCAAUCAGAGGCGAAGAAGGACGUGCUAAUCUGCGAAAAGCUUGGAUGAGUCGAUAAGAGGCGUUUAAUCCAAGAUAUCCGAAUGGGGAAACCCAGUAGAUGAAGAAUCUACUAUCAACAAGUGAAUUCAUAGCUUGUUGAGGCAAACCGGGAGAACUGAAACAUCUAAGUACCCCGAGGAAAAGAAAUCAACCGAGAUUUCGUCAGUAGCGGCGAGCGAAAGCGAAAGAGCCAGUAAGUGAUAGCAAUAUAGUGAGGAGAAUGUGUUGGGAAGCACAAUCAAAGAGGGUGAUAAUCCCGUAUCUAAAAACCAUAUUGUGGUACUAAGCUAACGAGAAGUAGGGCGGGACACGUGAUAUCCUGUUUGAAGAAGGGGGGCCCAUCCUCCAAGGCUAAAUACUCCUGAUUGACCGAUAGUGAACCAGUACUGUGAAGGAAAGGCGAAAAGAACCCCGGUGAGGGGAGUGAAAUAGAACCUGAAACCUUGUACGUACAAGCAGUGGGAGCGAGGGCAACCUUGUGACUGCGUACCUUUUGUAUAAUGGGUCAGCGACUUAUAUUUUGUAGCGAGGUUAACCGAAUAGGGGAGCCGAAGGGAAACCGAGUCUUAACUGGGCGAAUAGUUGCAAGGUAUAGACCCGAAACCCGGUGAUCUAGCCAUGGGCAGGUUGAAGGUUGGGUAACACUAACUGGAGGACCGAACCGACUAAUGUUGAAAAAUUAGCGGAUGACUUGUGGCUGGGGGUGAAAGGCCAAUCAAACCGGGAGAUAGCUGGUUCUCCCCGAAAUCUAUUUAGGUAGAGCCUUGAGGUGACACCUUUGGGGGUAGAGCACUGUUUCGGCUAGGGGGCCAUCCCGGCUUACCAACCCGAUGCAAACUACGAAUACCAAAGAGUGAUACUCAGGAGACACACGGCGGGUGCUAACGUCCGUCGUGGAGAGGGAAACAACCCAGACCGCCAGCUAAGGUCCCCAAGUCUAUAUUAAGUGGGAAACGAAGUGGGAAGGCUUAGACAGCUAGGAUGUUGGCUUAGAAGCAGCCAUCAUUUAAAGAAAGCGUAAUAGCUCACUAGUCGAGUCGGCCUGCGCGGAAGAUGUAACGGGGCUGAAAUAUAGCACCGAAGCUGCGGCAUCAGAAUUUAUUCUGUUGGGUAGGGGAGCGUUGUGUAAGCGGAAGAAGGUUCAUCGAGAGGUGGGCUGGACGUAUCACAAGUGCGAAUGCUGACAUAAGUAACGAUAAAACGGGUGAAAAACCCGUUCGCCGGAAGACCAAGGGUUCCUGUCCAACGUUAAUCGGGGCAGGGUGAGUCGGCUCCUAAGGCGAGGCUGAAAAGCGUAGUCGAUGGGAAACAGGUUAAUAUUCCUGUACUUGGUAAAGCUGCGAUGUGGGGACGGAGUAGGUUAGGUUAUCGCACUGUUGGAUAUGUGCGUUUAAGUUGGUAGGUGGGAAGUUUAGGCAAAUCCGGACUUCCUUAACACAGAGAGAUGAUGACGAGGCUCUACGGAGCUGAAGUAACUGAUACCACACUUCCAGGAAAAGCCACUAAGCGAAAGGCUUUACUAAACCGUACUGAAAACCGACACAGGUGGUCAGGUAGAGAAUACUCAGGCGCUUGAGAGAACUCGGGUGAAGGAACUAGGCAAAAUAGCACCGUAACUUCGGGAGAAGGUGCGCCGGCGUAGAUUGUAAGGGCUAGCCCCUGAAGGUUGAACCGGUCGAAGAUACCAGCUGGCUGCAACUGUUUAUUAAAAACACAGCACUCUGCAAACACGAAAGUGGACGUAUAGGGUGUGAUGCCUGCCCGGUGCUGGAAGGUUAAUUGAUGGUGUCAUCGAAAGAGAAGCACCUGAUCGAAGCCCCAGUAAACGGCGGCCGUAACUAUAACGGUCCUAAGGUAGCGAAAUUCCUUGUCGGGUAAGUUCCGACCUGCACGAAUGGCAUAAUGAUGGCCAGGCUGUCUCCACCCGAGACUCAGUGAAAUUGAAAUCGCCGUGAAGAUGCGGUGUACCCGCGGCUAGACGGAAAGACCCCGUGAACCUUUACUAUAGCUUGACACUGAACAUUGAAUUUUGAUGUGUAGGAUAGGUGGGAGCCUUUGAAGCAGUGACGCCAGUCAUUGUGGAGGCGACCUUGAAAUACCACCCUUUAACGUUUGAUGUUCUAACGAAGAUGACGAAACGUGGUCUCGGACAGUGUCUGGUGGGUAGUUUGACUGGGGCGGUCUCCUCCCAAAGCGUAACGGAGGAGCACGAAGGUUUGCUAAUCACGGUCGGACAUCGUGAGGUUAGUGCAAUGGUAUAAGCAAGCUUAACUGCGAGACAGACAAGUCGAGCAGGUACGAAAGUAGGUCAUAGUGAUCCGGUGGUUCUGAAUGGAAGGGCCAUCGCUCAACGGAUAAAAGGUACUCCGGGGAUAACAGGCUGAUACCGCCCAAGAGUUCAUAUCGACGGCGGUGUUUGGCACCUCGAUGUCGGCUCAUCACAUCCUGGGGCUGAAGUAGGUCCCAAGGGUAUGGCUGUUCGCCAUUUAAAGUGGUACGCGAGCUGGGUUUAGAACGUCGUGAGACAGUUCGGUCCCUAUCUGCCGUGGGCGUAGGAUGAUUGAUUGGGGCUGCUCCUAGUACGAGAGGACCGGAGUGGACGCAUCACUGGUGUUCCGGUUGUGUCGCCAGACGCAUUGCCGGGUAGCUAAAUGCGGAAGAGAUAAGUGCUGAAAGCAUCUAAGCACGAAACUUGCCAAGAGAUGAGUCAUCCCUGACUUUAAGUCAGUAAGGGUUGUUGUAGACUACGACGUAGAUAGGUUGGGUGUGUAAGUGAUGUGAGUCAUUGAGCUAACCAAUACUAAUUGCCCGAGAGGCUUAACU
rnacentral:rRNA from 1 species